GCAAUGGGUCGCCCAUUGGUAGUUGGAUAUUGUAAUAUUGUGAUUGUUAUGAGAUUACUUGCAUGCUUUGAGCGUAUCACAUGGCCAUGACUGACACCAAUGAGGCGCACGAGGUGAUAUGUGACCUCCCGACAAUGCCUUGUGCAAACUGCAUCGCCCAAGAUGGGUAAUCGCUUGAGUUAUGUAAUUCACUUGAGAUGUGUGGUUAACCUGAGUUAUGAGAUUGACCAGAGAUAUAUGAUUUACCUAAAUUAUAUGAUCGAUUUGCAAGAUAUGGGAGUGACCUGAUGAAUAGGGCUAGAGAGUGGGUUGUGUCUAUUGAUUUUGUUAUGCUCUCUUGUUGGUGUGGAUCUGUUGAAAUCUGAUAAAUUUCUAGUGUAUAUGGUAUCUAAUAUUUAUAUUGUGUCGUCUCUACCAUGAAAAGCAUCAUCCUAUAAUUGUGACAUAAUUAUGAUGCAUAACUUAUGUUUUAUCAAUGUGGCUUAGAACCUUGAUAUGUGUUGUGAGAUAGUAUUCAUAGGCAGGGAAGAAUGAUAUUGUGAUCUACUUACUGGGAUUUUUAGCUCAUUCAUUUAAUUCCACCCUUGUGGAUUGACAACUGCAGGUCGAAGACAGGGGGCGGUGAUCAUGUUUGGUGGAUUGAAGGCUUGCGCUAGACUAGAAGAUCUCCUUGUUUUUGUAUGUGUCAGCUGGUCGUCGGCCGUACAAUGUUGUUUGUGAAGCUUUGUAAUUUUGUUAAUAUGCUUUGGUGCCUUGGAUGCAUUGUAAUAUCCUGGAUAUUGUUGAUGACCUUGGAGACUGUAUAUGGAUAAUUUAAUG
rnacentral:lncRNA from 1 species